UGUCAUGAACAAAGCGCAGUCCAAUCUGAAAGCUGUAACACUGCUUUACAAAAAGUGAAGUAAUUAAACCCACUGGAACAAACUGUGCUCGGACCCAGCAUCUUUCCCCUUCUCCACACCAGAUACGUGUUCAGAGAUUGAUCAAGCAAACCAGGAGUUUGAGUUGUAAGGCUGGACUGAAGUUGGAUGAAUAGAGCAUGUUAAGUCCCAGGGAGAGAGGCUGAUGAAAGAGCACACAAAAAGGGUCAGUGUCCACUGUAUGGCCCAGGCUAGUAUAAAAGUACCAAGAAGCACUGCAUGUGUAUCUCCUGACAAGAGUUUUGUGUGUAGAGCUACAGCAGUCUCCACUGUCACAGGAGAGAGAUGGAGAGAGAAGGAAUCUGAAUUUCUGGCAAGAGAAAGAAUCCCAAAACUUAGGAGCACUGCUGAAAACUGCUCAUGAAAAUUUUAAGAUCAAUUUUCAACAAGCAGUGGUAAUUUCUUUCAUUAAAUACUGUUCUAUAUCCUUCAUAAAAAAAGCCAAACAAUGA